rnacentral:rRNA from 1 species
GACGAACGCUGGCGGCGUGCCUAAUACAUGCAAGUAGAACGCUGAAGAGAGGAGCUUGCUCUUCUUGGGUGAGUUGCGAACGGGUGAGUAACGCGUAGGUAACCUGCCUUGUAGCGGGGGAUAACUAUUGGAAACGAUAGCUAAUACCGCAUAACAAUGGAUGACACAUGUCAUUUAUUUGAAAGGGGCAAUUGCUCCACUACAAGAUGGACCUGCGUUGUAUUAGCUAGUAGGUGAGGUAACGGCUCACCUAGGCGACGAUACAUAGCCGACCUGAGAGGAUGAUCGGCCACACGGGGACGGAGACACGGCCCAGACUCCUACGGGAGGCAGCAGUAGGGAAUCUUCGGCAAUGGGGGCAACCCUGACCGAGCAACGCCGCGUGAGUGAAGAAGGGUUUCGGAUCGUAAAGCUCUGUUGUAAGUCAAGAACGAGUGUGAGAGUGGAAAGUUCACACUGUGACGGUAGCUGACCAGAAAGGGACGGCUAACUACGUG